rnacentral:rRNA from 1 species
AAUGAACGCUGGCGGCGCGCCUAAUACAUGCAAGUCGAGCGAGAAGACGUAGCAAUACGUUUGUAAAGCGGCGAACGGGUGAGGAAUACAUGGGUAACCUACCCUAGAGUGGGGAAUAACUAGCCGAAAGGUUAGCUAAUACCGCGUAUGCUCCUUGGACUUCGGUUCAGGGAGGAAAGCGAUGCCGAGGGUAUCGCGCUCUUGGAUGGGCUCAUGUCCCAUCAGCNGUUGGUGAGGUAACGGCUCACCAAGGCUUCGACGGGUAGCUGGUCUGAGAGGACGAUCAGCCACACUGGCACUGCGACACGGGCCAGACUCCUACGGGAGGCAGCAGUAAGGAAUAUUGCGCAAUGGGCGAAAGCCUGACGCAGCGACGCCGCGUGAAGGAUGAAAUCCUUCGGGAUGUAAACUUCGCAAAUAUGGGAAGAACACAAUGACGGUACCAUAAUGUAAGCCCCGGCUAACUCCGUGCCAGCCGCCGCU